rnacentral:rRNA from 1 species
GUGGGGAAUAUUGGACAAUGGGCGAAAGCCUGAUCCAGCCAUGCCGCGUGUGUGAAGAAGGUCUUCGGAUUGUAAAGCACUUUAAGUUGGGAGGAAGGGCAGUAAGUUAAUACCUUGCUGUUUUGACGUUACCGACAGAAUAAGCACCGACUAACUUCGUGCCAGCAGCCGCGGUAAUACGAAGGGUGCAAGCGUUAAUCGGAAUUACUGGGCGUAAAGCGCGCGUAGGUGGUUUUGUAAGUUGGAGGUGAAAUCCCCGGGCUCAACCUGGGAACUGCCUCCAAAACUGCAUGACUAGAGUACGGUAGAGGGUAGUGGAAUUUCCUGUGUAGCGGUGAAAUGCGUAGAUAUAGGAAGGAACACCAGUGGCGAAGGCGACUACCUGGACUGAUACUGACACUGAGGUGCGAAAGCGUGGGGAGCAAACAGGAUUAGAAACCCUGGUAGUCC